UAAGACGAACCGUGCAAACGUUGUUCGGAAUCACUGGGCUUAAAGGGCGCGUAGGCGGGCGGGCAAGUCUGGGGUGAAAUCUUUCGGCUCAACCGGAAAAGUGCCUCGGAUACUGCUCAUCUUGAGGGAGGUAGGGGCAUGCGGAACUUCUGGUGGAGCGGUGAAAUGCGUUGAUAUCAGAAGGAACGCCGGUGGCGAAAGCGGCGUGCUGGACCUCUUCUGACGCUGAGGCGCGAAAGCCAGGGGAGCAAACGGGAUUAGAUACCCCGGUAGUCCUGGCCCUAAACGAUGGGUACUAGAUUGUGGACUAGACAUGGGUUCCCAGUCGAAGCAAAAGUGUUAAGUACCCCGCCUGGGGAGUAUGGUCGCAAGGCUG
rnacentral:rRNA from 1 species